rnacentral:misc_RNA from 1 species
AUGAGUUUUUAUGGUCUUUGUUGGUUUUUGAUUGACAAAGUUACCUAAAACUUCAUCCUAUGUUUACAUACAUUGUAUACUUUGGCAAGACGCUUUGACUUGUAGUUGGAGUUUGACACUAGUCAAGCGACGCCACAAGAAAAAGCCACUGACAAUUCUUUAUAGAGCUGUGAGUGUGUUUGCUUGCCAAAGGUUUCAACUCUUUUUAUUUGCAGUCUGAGUAAACAAAAAAUAAAUUA